UACAGAGGGGGCAAGCGUUGUUCGGAAUUACUGGGCGUAAAGGGCGCGUAGGCGGCCCGCUAAGUCGAACGUGAAAUCCCCGAGCUCAACUCGGGAACUGCGUCCGAUACUGGCGGGCUUGAAUCCGGGAGAGGGAUGCAGAAUUCCAGGUGUAGCGGUGAAAUGCGUAGAUAUCUGGAGGAAUACCGGUGGCGAAGGCGGCAUCCUGGACCGGCAUUGACGCUGAGGAGCGAAAGCUAGGGGAGCAAACGGG
rnacentral:rRNA from 1 species